ncrna:unclassified sequences S15-Flavobacteria ribosomal protein leader
UAUAUUUGCGCCGCUGUUAACAGCAUACAUAAUAAUCAUUUAAACAAUAUUGGAAUG